AGCAGCCGCGGUAAUUCCAGCUCCAAUAGCGUAUAUUAAAGUUGUUGCAGUUAAAAAGCUCGUAGUUGAAUUUCGGGAUCAAUUUGUUGGUCGUGCCUCGGUACGUACUGGCAUUAUUGGUUUCUACCUUCUGAAGAACCUUGAUGUCAUUAAUUUGGUGUCUUGGGGAAUCAGGACUGUUACUUUGAAAAAAUUAGAGUGUUUAAAGCAGGCAUACGCUUGAAUACAUCAGCAUGGAAUAAUGAAAUAGGACGUUUGAUUCUAUUUUGUUGGUUUCUAGGAUCGACGUAAUGAUUAAUAGGGAUAGUUGGGGGCAUUAGUAUUCAAUUGUCAGAGGUGAAAUUCUUGGAUUUAUUGAAGACUAACUACUGCGAAAGCAUUUGCCAAGGAUGUUUUCAUUAAUCAAGAACGAAAGUUAGGGGAUCGAAGACGAUCAGAUACCGUCGUAGUCUUAACCAUAAACUAUGCCGACUAGGGAUCGGAUGAUGUUAAUUUUUUAAUGACUCAUUCGGCGCCUUACG
rnacentral:rRNA from 1 species